UACAGAGGGUGCGAGCGUUAAUCGGAAUUACUGGGCGUAAAGCGCGCGUAGGCGGCUUUGCAAGUCGGGUGUGAAAUCCCCAGGCUUAACCUGGGAACUGCAUUCGAGACUGCAUUGCUAGAGUAUGGGAGAGGGAAGUGGAAUUUCCGGUGUAGCGGUGAAAUGCGCAGAUAUCAGGAGGAACACCAAUUGCGAAGGCAGCUCGCUGGGACGUUACUGACGCUGAGACGCGAAAGCGUGGGGAGCAAACAGG
rnacentral:rRNA from 1 species